GAGACAGAGGUGACGGUGACUACAGAGAAGCAUUCUGCAUAGAUUCCCAUCCCGACAGUUUACAUUUGCUCAAGAUUAUGAUCUUCAUUGUCUUGAGUUGCCCUCAUAAAACAAAGUUCUCAGUAAAUUAUACUGCCUUCUAGCUGCUGUCUGCGUGAUAUGUGAAGUACAGCUAAUGGACAGGAUUCAAGCACUGUCCAAGUCUUCUUGGAACAGGACAAGAAAUCAUGAGCUACAACUUCAGCAAAGGAACAGCAGUAGGAGUGGAAACUCUAGAGUCAGCCAGUCACUGCACAUGUUAGGUGGACCUUCACUGAUGGGGAAUUUCAGGAAAAAAUCUUGGGUUAGAAGCUGCCAAGUUGGAGCGGAAAGCAAUGAUACCUCAAGUUGAAAAGAAGAAAAAUAACCUGGAUUUACAAAUCAAUCAUGGGGCAAUAAUGAAUUGUAAACCUGUUGAAGAUGCGGAAAAGGUAAACGUGGAAUCAGAAUAUCCCAAGUUGGAAGUGACCCAUAAGGAUCAUCAAGUCCUACUCCUAAGGCCCCAGCCAUGGACCUGGCUGCCACCCACAAGAUCAAGCUGCCCAGAGCCCCAUUCAGCCUGGCCUUCAGCACCUCCAGAGAACAUCCAUGGCUUCUUUGGGCAAUCUAUUCUGUCUGAGAAAGAUAUCCAAGCCAAAUCUCUCUGGAAAAGUACUGAUGGAAUUCUCAAGCAUUUGGGAAUUUACUCUUGGAUCAUUUUUUCUGCCUUUCCUUUCAUUCAUGUUGGGAUUCAUGGCACCAUUCCUUUGCUAGAGCUGGCUUCAUUUCAGUACUGCAUGGGUAAAAUGCCUUUAUGUGGAGGUUAAGAAUCUCUUUUGCUAGUCUUAGUUAAAUAAAAAUAAUACAACAGGGGCUCUUUUGCAGUAAAUAAACAUUUGGAGUCCAGAGUUUUUCUGUUCACAAGCUCACCUGCCUUUUUCAGUAACAUACUGCAAGUGAUUUCACUUUUUUUUUUAAUAAGUUGAUUUUUCAUCCUUUUUUUUCUUUUUCUAACACAAUCUAAAGUCCAUUUGUAUAUUUUAAGGAUGCUAUUAGCAAUGACAGCAAUAAAGUUCUUUUACUGGU
rnacentral:lncRNA from 7 species